GCGCACUUUGUGGCGAAGUUAACGCGAUAAGUCGACCGCCUGGGGAGUACGGCCGCAAGGUUAAAACUCAAAUGAAUUGACGGGGGCCCGCACAAGCGGUGGAGCAUGUGGUUUAAUUCGAUGCAACGCGAAGAACCUUACCUACUCUUGACAUCCUGCGAACUUGUGAGAGAUCACUUGGUGCCUUCGGGAGCGCAGAGACAGGUGCUGCAUGGCUGUCGUCAGCUCGUGUUGUGAAAUGUUGGGUUAAGUCCCGUAACGAGCGCAACCCUUGUCCUUAUUUGCCAGCGGGUAAUGCCGGGAACUCUAAGGAGACUGCCGGUGACAAACCGGAGGAAGGUGGGGACGACGUCAAGUCAUCAUGGCCCUUACGAGUAGGGCUACACACGUGCUACAAUGGCCGGUACAAAGGGUUGCGAGCUCGCGAGAGUCAGCUAAUCCCGAAAAGCCGGUCUCAGUCCGGAUCGGAGUCUGCAACUCGACUCCGUGAAGUCGGAAUCGCUAGUAAUCGUGAAUCAGAAUGUCACGGUGAAUACGUUCCCGGGCCUUGCACACACCGCCCGU
rnacentral:rRNA from 1 species